GGAAGCUUGUCCGAGCGGCCUAAGGAGCCGGUCUUGAAAACCGGUGUGCGGCAACCCCGCACCAUGGGUUCAAAUCCCAUAGCUUCCG
rnacentral:tRNA from 2 species